GAAGUGUAGAAAGUCACUUUUGAUCAAAAGUACCGUAACAAAACUUGUUCCCAUUCAUCCUGUGUGUCCAGACACUCUGGUGCUCUUUAUAAGCUGAAAACGCUAUACAGCACUUGAGAAGACGCUUGGAGCAAAGGAAAGUGGUUUAUCUAACAAACUCAUAUAAUCAAUUGCCCGACGGACUACAAUGAGAUAUUUUUCACAUAUGUACACAUAAUAUAGUACUAUGAACUGUUUCUGACCUAAAAUAUUACGAAAUAUGAUUGUUUACAUUAAAAUGUAAAACUCGAUAACAAAGUAUGAUAAGGUGAAAAAAGUGACAUUUUAUGUCUAGAAAGUCACUUUUCAUCAAAAGUACAAUAACAAAACUAGUUCCCAUUCAUGCUGUUUGUCCAGACACUCUGGUGCUCUUUAUAUGCUCAAAACGCUAUACAGCGCUUCAGAAGGCGCUAGGAGCAAAGGAAAGUGGUUUUUCUAACAAAUUCAUGUAAUCAAUUGCCCGACCUACUCCAAUUUGAUAUUUUUCACAUAUUUCCACAUAAUAUAGUACUAUGAAAUGUUUCUGACCUAAAAUAAGACUAAAUAUGAUUUUUUACAUUAAAAUGUAAAACUCAAUGAAAAGGUGAUAAAAGUGUCAUUUGAAGUGUAGAAAGUCACUUUUCAUCAAACGUACCAUAACAAAACUUGUUCCCAUUCAUCCUCUGUGUCCAUACACACUGGUGCUCUUUAUACGCUCAAAACGCUAUACAGCGCUUGAGAAGUCGCUAGGCGCAUAGGAAAGUGUUUUUUCUAACAAACUCAUAUAAUUAAUUGCCCUCUCGACUCCAAUAUGAUAUUUUUCACAUAGUUAGACAUAAUAUAGUACUAUGAAAUGUUUCUGACCUAAAAUAAUACGAAAUAUAAUUGUUUACAUUAAAAUGUAAAAAUUGAUGAUAAAGUAUGAUAAGGUGAAAAACGUGUCAUUUGAAGUGUAGAAAGUCACUUUUCAUCAAAAGUACCAUAACAAAACUUGUUCUCAUUCAUCCUGUGUGUCCAUACACACCGGUGCUCUUCAUACGCUCAAAACGCUAUACAACGCUUGAGAAGGCGCUAGGAGCAAAGGAAAGUGGUUUUUCUAACAAAUUCAUAUAAUCAAUUGCCCGACCUACUCCAAUAUAAUAUUUUUCACAUAUUUACACAUAAUAUAGUACUAUGAAAUGUUUCUGACCUAAAAUAUUACGAAAUAUGAUUGUUUACAUUAAAAUGUAAAAGUUGAUGAUAAAGUGUGCUAAGGUGAAAAAAGUGACAUUUUAUGUCUAGAAAGUCACUUUUCAUCAAAAGUACAAUAACAAAACUAGUUCCCAUUCAUCCUGUGUCCCCAUACACUCUUGUGCUCUUUAUACGCUCAAAACGCUAUACAGCGAUUGAGAAGGCGCUAGGAGCAAAGGAAAGUGGUUUUUCUAACAAACUCAUGUAAUCAAUUGCCAGACCUACUCCAAUAUGAUAUUUUUCACAUAUUUACACAUAAUAUAGUACUAUGAAAUGUUUCUGACCUAAAAUAUUACGAAAUAUGAUUGUUUCCAUUAAAAUGUAAAAGUUAAUGAUAAAUUGUGAUAAUGUGAAAUAAGUGACAUUUUAUGACUAGAAAGUCACUUUUCAUCAAAAGUACAAUAACAAAACUAGUUCCCAUUCAUCCUGUGUCCCCAUCCACACUUGUGCUCUUUAUACGCUCAAAACGCUAUACAACGCUUCAGAUGGCGCUAGGAGCAAAGGAAAGUGUUUUUUCUAACAAACUCAUGUAAUCAAUUGCCCGAACUACUCCAAUAUGAUAUUUUUCACAUAUUUACACAUAAUAUAGUACUAUGAACUGUUUCUGACCUAAAAUAUUACGAAAUAUGAUUGUUUACAUUAAAAUGUAAAAGUUGAUGAAAAAGUGUCCUAAGGUGAAAAAAGUGACAUUUUAUGUCUAGAAAGUCACUUUUCAUCAAAAGUACAAUAACAAAACUAGUUCCCAUUCAUCCUGUGUGUCCAGACACACUGGUGCUCUUUAUACGCUCAAAACGCUAUACAGCGAUUGAGAAGGCGCUAGGAGCAAAGGAAAGUGGUUUUUCUAACAAACUCAUGUAAUCAAUUGCCCGACCUACUCUAAUAUGAUAUUUUUCACAUAUUUACACAUAAUAUAGUACUAUGAAAUGUUUCUGAGCUAAAAUAUUACGAAAUUUGAUUGUUUACAAAAAAUUGUAAAAGUUGAUGAUAAAGUGUGGUAAGGUGAAAAAAGUGACAUUUUAUGUCUAGAAAGUCACUUUUCAUCAAAAGUACAAUAACAAAACUUGUUCCCAUUCAUUCAGUGUGUCCAGACACACUUGUGCACUUUAUACGCUCAAAAGGCUAUACAGCGCUUCAGAAUGCGCUAGGAGCAAAGGAAAGUGGUUUUUCUAACAAACUCAUAUAAUCAAUUGCCCGACGGACUCCAAUAUGAUAUUUUUCACAUAGUUAGACACAAUACAGUUCUAUGAAAUGUUUAUGACCUAAAAUAAGACGAGAUAUGAUUGUUUACGUUAAAAUAUAAACUUGAUGAUAAAGUAUGAUAGGUGAAAAAAGUGUCAUUUGAAGUGUAGAAAGUCACUUUUGAUCAAAAGUACCGUAACAAAACUUGUUCCCAUUCAUCCUGUGUGUCCAGACACUCUGGUGCUCUUUAUAAGCUGAAAACGCUAUACAGCACUUGAGAAGACGCUAGGAGCAAAGGAAAGUGGUUUAUCUAACAAACUCAUAUAAUCAAUUGCCCGACGGACUCCAAUGAGAUAUUUUUCACAUAGUUAGACAUAAUACAGUACUAUGAAAUGUUUCGGACCUAAAAUAAGACUAAAUAUGAUUUUUUACAUUAAAAUGUAAAACUCAAUGAAAAGGUGAUAAAAGUGUCAUUUGAAGUGUAGAAAGUCACUUUUCAUCAAACGUACCAUAACAAAACUUGUUCCCAUUCAUCCUCUGUGUCCAUACACACUGGUGCUCUUUAUACGCUCAAAACGCUAUACAGCGCUUGAGAAGUCGCUAGGCGCAAAGGAAAGUGUUUUUCUAACAAACUCAUAUAAUUAAUUGCCCUCUGGACUCCAAUAUGAUAUUUUUCACAUAGUUAGACAUAAUAUAGUACUAUGAAAUGUUUCUGACCUAAAAUAAUACGAAAUAUAAUUGUUUACAUUAAAAUGUAAAAAUUGAUGAUAAAGUAUGAUAAGGUGAAAAACGUGUCAUUUGAAGUGUAGAAAGUCACUUUUCAUCAAAAGUACCAUAACAAAACUUGUUCUCAUUCAUCCUGUGUGUCCAUACACACCGGUGCUCUUUAUACGCUCAAAACGCUAUACAGCGCUUGAGAAGGCGCUAGGAGCAUAGGAAAGUGGUUUAUCUAACAAACUCAUAUAAUCAAUUGCCCGACGGACUCCAAUAGGAUAUUUUUCACAUAGUUAGACAUAAUACAGUACUAUGAAAUGUUUCUGACCUAAAAUAAGACGAAAUAUGAUUGUUUACAUGAAAUUGUAAAACUUGAUGAUAACGUAGGAUAAGGUGAAAAAAGUGUCAUUUGAAGUAUAGAAAGUCACUUUACAUCAAAAGUACCAUAAUAAAACUUGUUCUCAUUCAUCCUGUGUGUCCAUACACACUGGUGCUCUUUAUACUCUCAAAACGGUAUACAGCGCUUGAGAAGGCGCUAGGAGCAAAGGAAAGUGGUUUAUCUAACAAACUCAUAUAAUCAAUUGCCCGACGGACUCCAAUAUGAUAUUUUUCACAUAGUUAGACAUAAUACAGUACUAUGAAAUGUUUCUGACCUAAAAUAAGACGAAAUAUGAUUGUUUACAUUAAAAUGUAAAACGAUGAUAAUGUAUGAUAAGGUGAAUAAAGUGCAAUUUGAAGUGUAGAAAGUCACUUUUCAUCAAAAGUACAAUAACAAAACUUGUUCCCAUUCAUCCUGUGUGUCCAGACACACUGGUGCUUUUUUUUACGCUCCAAAUAGUAUACAACGCUUGAGAAGGCGCUAGGAGCAAAGGAAAGUGGUUUUUCUAACAAACUCAUAUAAUCAAUUGCCCGACGGACUCCAAUAGGAUAUUUUUCACAUAGUUAGACAUAAUACAGUACUAUGAAAUGUUUCUGACCUAAAAUAAGACGAAAUAUGAUUGUUUACAUGAAAUUGUAAAACUUGAUGAUAACGUAGGAUAAGGUGAAAAAAGUGUCAUUUGAAGUAUAGAAAGUCACUUUACAUCAAAAGUACCAUAAUAAAACUUGUUCUCAUUCAUCCUGUGUGUCCAUACACACUGGUGCUCUUUAUACUCUCAAAACGGUAUACAGCGCUUGAGAAGGCGCUAGGAGCAAAGGAAAGUGGUUUAUCUAACAAACUCAUAUAAUCAAUUGCCCGACGGACUCCAAUAUGAUAUUUUUCACAUAGUUAGACAUAAUACAGUACUAUGAAAUGUUUCUGACCUAAAAUAAGACGAAAUAUGAUUGUUUACAUUAAAAUGUAAAACGAUGAUAAUGUAUGAUAAGGUGAAUAAAGUGCAAUUUGAAGUGUAGAAAGUCACUUUUCAUCAAAAGUACAAUAACAAAACUUGUUCCCAUUCAUCCUGUGUGUCCAGACACACUGGUGCUUUUUUUUACGCUCCAAAUAGUAUACAACGCUUGAGAAGGCGCUAGGAGCAAAGGAAAGUGGUUUUUCUAACAAAUUCAUAUAAUCAAUUGCCCGACCUACUCCAAUAUGAUAUUUUUCACAUAUUUACACAUAAUAUAGUACUAUGAAAUGUUUCUGACCUAAAAUAUUACGAAAUAUGAUUGUUUACAUUAAAAUGUAAAAGUUGAUGAUAAAGUGUGCUAAGGUGAAAAAAGUGACAGUUUAUGUCUAGAAAGUCACUUUUCAUCAAAAGUACAAUAACAAAACUACUUCCCAUUCAUCCUGUGUGUCCAGACACUCUGGUGAUCUGUAUACGCUCAAAACGCUAUACAGCGAUUGAGAAGGCGCUAGGAGCAAAGGAAAGUGGUUUUUCUAACAAACUCAUGUAAUCAAUUGCCCGACCUACUCCAAUAUGAUAUUUUUCACAUAUUUACACAUAAUAUGGUACUAUGAAAUGUUUCUGACCUAAAAUAUUACGAAAUUUGAUUGUUUACCUUAAAAUGUAAAAGUUGAUGAUAAAGUGUGCUAAGGUGAAAAAAGUGACAUUUUAUGUCUAGAAAGUCACUUUUUAUCAAAUGUGCCCUAACAAAACUUGUUCACAUUCGUCCUGUGUUUCCAUACACUUUGGUGCUCAUCAGACGCUGAAAACCUUAAACAGCGAUUUUCAAGCAUCUGAGAGCGAAGGAAAGUGUUUUUUCUAACAAACGCAUAUAAUUAAUUGCAUGACGUCCUCCAAUAUGAUAUUUUCCGAUAUUUAUGACAUACUAUAGUACUAUGACAUGUUUCUGACCUAAAAUGAUAAAAAAAUAUGAUUGAUUACCUUAAUAUUUAUAAGUUGAUAAUAAAGUAUAAUAAGGGGGGAAAAAACAGACAAUUGAAGUGUAGAAAGUCACUUUUCAUCAAAUGUGCCUUAACAAAACUUGUUCACAUUCGUCCUGUGUGUCCAUACAGACUGGUGCUCUUCAGACUUUGAAAACCCUAUACAGCGUAUAGCGCUAAUAUACAGCACUAAUAUAGUCUAUUAUAGUAUAUUAUAAACAUGCCAAACUAUCAUAUUAAGUCAUAAACAAGUCAACCAUCUCAUAUUAAGUCAAUAACAUGUGAAAUAUGUCAUAGUAUCAUAUUAAAGCAUGAACAAGUAACAUAUAUAAUUUUAAGUCAUAAGCAAGUGAAACAUCUCAUAUUGAGGUGGUUCACACGUUUAUGACUUAAUAUGAGAUAUUUCACUUGUUUAUGACUUAAUAGG
ensembl:lncRNA